CACAUGGCAAGUCGAAACGGCAGCACGGGAGCAAUCCUGGUGGCGAGUGGCGAACGGGUGAGUAAUAUAUCGGAACGUGCCAGUCGUGGGGAUAACGUAGCGAAAGCUACGCUAAUACCGCAUACGAUCUACGGAUGAAAGCGGGGGAUCGCAAGACCUCGCGCGAUUGGAGCGGCCGAUAUCAGAUUAGGUAGUUGGUGAGGUAAAGGCUCACCAAGCCGACGAUCUGUAGCUGGUCUGANAGGACGACCAGCCACACUGGGACUGAGACACGGCCCAGACUCCUACGGGAGGCAGCAGUGGGGAAUUUUGGACAAUGGGCGCAAGCCUGAUCCAGCAAUGCCGCGUGCAGGAUGAAGGCCUUCGGGUUGUAAACUGCUUUGUACGGAACGAAACGGUGAGCUCUAAUACAGUUUGCUAAUGACGGUACCGUAAGAAUAAGCACCGGCUAACUACGUG
rnacentral:rRNA from 1 species